UCUCCGGAUGGUGAUUUGGGUAGAUUUCUUUAUAUCCUAAUUAACACUGCUCAGUUAGAAGCCUAGUUAGGAAAGGCUAGAUGAUAGACCUUCGCAAGAAAUUUGGGGGUUCUGAUGACGGAAGGACUAAUGUGUCCUUUUACAAGGAAUGCACAGGAAAGUGACAAAGCCACGAGUUUCCUCUGGCCCCAGCCUGGUGCGAAAGCAGGAAAAGCUCAGCCAUCAGGGAUGCCUUUGGAAUACGAUGAGGUAAAUGCCUAUCACAAAAUCGUGUUCCCCAAGCUCCAGGCUUUGCACUCCAGAGGAGCUCUGUGGUUUCUAAGAGCCAACUGGUGGAUCACAGGAACCGCAGAAUGUCAUCGAUUCUAUCAAGAAGUAAAACUUAAAUGACAUGCAGAUGGAGCACUCUGGACUCUUACCAAUUUCCACUACAAACAUAUAGUUGGCCUCAAUGGUGAAUCUGAAGAUUGUCUGUGGAAUGGAAACUGGAGAUUUUGACAAUAAAUUGUUCAUGAAUGGAUUCUAAAAAAUCCACCAAUAUUCAAAAUAAUCAUUUGUGAGUGCUAAAAGUUACACAUACGCAAAUAUAG
rnacentral:lncRNA from 1 species